rnacentral:rRNA from 1 species
UACAGAGGGUGCAAGCGUUGUUCGGAAUCACUGGGCUUACAGGGUGCGUAGGCGGCUCAACAAGUCAGGUGUGAAAGCCCCCGGCUCAACCGGGGAACUGCGCUUGAAACUGUUAGGCUCGAGUCAGCUAGAGGUACACGGAACUUCCAGUGGAGCGGUGAAAUGUGUUGAUAUUGGAAGGAACACCGGAGGCGAAAGCGGUGUACUGGGGCUGGUCUGACGCUGAGGCACGAAAGCCAGGGGAGCGAACGGG